rnacentral:rRNA from 1 species
AUUGAACGCUGGCGGCAUGCUUUACACAUGCAAGUCGAACGGUAACAGGGAGCUUGCUCCGCUGACGAGUGGCGAACGGGUGAGUAAUGCGUCGGAACGUGCCGAGUAGUGGGGGAUAACGCAUCGAAAGGUGUGCUAAUACCCCAUACGUACUGAGGUAGAAAGUGGGGGACCUUCGGGCCUCACGCUAUUCGAGCGGGCGACGUCUGAUUAGCUAGGUGGUGAGGUAAAGGCUCACCAAGGCGACGACCAGUAGCGGGUCUGAGAGGAGGACCCGCCACACUGGGACUGAGACACGGCCCAGACUCCUACGGGAGGCAGCAGUGGGGAAUUUUGGACAAUGGGCGCAAGCCUGAUCCAGCCAUGCCGCGUGUCUGAAGAAGGCCUUCGGGUUGUAAAGGACUUUUGUCCGGGAGCAAAUGCCUGGUGUUAAUAGCACUGGGAGCUGAGAGUACCGGAAGAAUAAGCACCGGCUAACUACGUGCCAGCAGCCGCAGUAAAAC